GACGAACCGUGCGACCGUUAUUCGGAAUCACUGGGCUUAAAGCGCGUGUAGGCGGGCCGGCACGUCGGUCGCUGAAAUCCCCGGCUCAACCGGGGAAGGGGCGCCGAUACGACCGGCCUGGAGGGGCGUAGGGGGACCGGGAACUUCCGGUGGAGCGGUGAAAUGCGUUGAGAUCGGAAGGAACGCCCGUGGCGAAAGCGCGGUCCUGGACGCCUGCUGACGCUGAGACGCGAAAGCGUGGGGAGCAAACAGG
rnacentral:rRNA from 1 species